AGCAGCGCGGUAAAUUCCAGCUCCAAUAGCGUAUAUUUAAAGUUGUUGCAGUUAAAAAGCUCGUAGUUGAAUUUUGGGGUUCUACCGUUGGUCGGGCAAUUGUCUGUACUGGCGUGUGGAAUUUCUACCUUCUGGGGAACCAUCAUGUUAUUAAUUUAGCGUGGUGGGAAACCAGGACCUUUACCUUGAAAAAAUUAGAGUGUUCAAAGCAGGCUUACGUCUGAAUACAUAAGCAUGGAAUAAUAAAAUAGGACGGUGGUCCUGUUUUGUUAGUUUCUGAAUCACCGUAAUGAUUAAUAGGGAUAGUUGGGGGCAUUAGUAUUCAAUUGUCAGAGGUGAAAUUCUUGGAUUUAUCGAAGACUAACUUCUGCGAAAGCAUUUGCCAAGGAUGUUUUCAUUA
rnacentral:rRNA from 1 species